CGCGUGAACACGGAGCCUCACACUAUGGGAAUCAUGAAUAGCCUCGUAGCUCUAUUUAUGGCUGCGAUUCUGUCGUAUGUCCGGGCUUCCCACACGUGACCUCGUCAGCUCAUCCUUCAGAGACAGCUGAAGACAGCUCAGGUGCCUGCAAGACGCAGCGUCUGAAGGCAGUGACGGGGGAUCUGAGUGUGAGGUCUAGAAGCUCUGGACAGUCCUGGUGGGGAAGCCUCUAAACGGAGAUGAAAAGAAAGCAAGGUCGCAGAAGCAGCCCCAUGCAUGGGCCUUCUCUGGAGAAAAGAAACGCAAAGUUAAAACCGCCUCAAGUAAUUACGAGUGGGAAUACGUCAGAGGAUACGACACCGCUUGUCCGCCGGGGAGUGCCCUGCUCGAUUUCUGCUUGUGACGUGGCAUAAAUACAGCCCAAACCAAACCCUAGUACUUGAUGGGAAAACGGUGUCACGGAGAAAACUGUUGUUCAUCUCUAAAACCCAUCCUGGUGCACACGAAAAUCCAGAGACCCAACUCAAAAUCUUCUCUCAUCACGGAGAUAGGAGAACGGUUUCCAGAUGGCAUCUGAGAUACACAGCUUAUCAUUACAUCAAGGAGCAGGCCCGCUCCAACCACAUCCAAGUGAACCACAGAUCCACAAAUCUAUGCCUGGGCAAGUUUGGCUUUUACGGUUUGCCUGGAACGUUCCUGGACCUGCCGCUGUGGUUUCUGGGCUCUCCCCAGGCUAGGCCUUGAGAUUACGCUGAUCAGCCUGGAACCAGGCAAUGUUUCAGGCGCAUGACAACUUCUAACCCCUUUCUGCCUCAUCGUGUUUUCCCCAGGCUGGCCAGGUGGAACACGAAAUUAC
ensembl:lncRNA